AGGCGGAACUCGCGGCGAUUCCUUUGUUCUUUGUGUCCCCGUGCCACGUCAUUUCCACGCGCCACGCAAAUUGCUCUGGCAAGUGUCAUUCGUCGUGUUUUCAGUCAAAAGCAUAGGAAAAACACCGUUCGAAAGUAGAAAAAUAAAUAUUUUUGCGAAGUUGCUCAACCGAUCUUCAUUUUGGAACUCAAAUUUGAAAGAUAAACGGUAAGUGGUUAUUUUUAUGUAAAAAUAUAUACGUUUAUAGGCUAAAUACAAAGAAAAAAUAGUAUAAUACAAAUUACAAUCUCGGUGCUUGUGAUGUUCUUGCCAAGAAGCAGAUUCCCAUUUCGCUAAAUUAAUGCGGGCCAAACGUAUUGCUUUCCUGUCUUUUACAUUAAUAAGAAAGCAUAGGUGCUGAUUUGAAACACGUCCAUCAGGUUCCAUGUAUGUAGCUUUGCGAUUUGUGAGCAAAAAUUAAAAGUUAAACUACCUAUGUUUUUAAUACUUUCUGUGCAACUAAUAACCACAUUCACAAAUAUAUUCUCCAGCAAAGAAACGUUUCUUUACGGAUUGUUAAUCCGCAUUUGAAUGCAUGCUUAUGCCUUCAAAGGUCAGAGGUCUUCACAUGCAGAAUAGCAGAGACUAGUGUCAUUGACAUCCUUUGUCACAAAAUUAUGAUGGCAUAUUGGACAGCUAUGUUGGAUAAGGCACUUCCUUAAUAAAUAGCUUGACACAUAAGUUCAUGCAGACUAAGUUUUGUUCAAUUUCAUUUGUUUUGUAGUCGGUAUCUUCAACUGCUUGGAUUAGUAGUGGGCUUGUCUGAUCAUUUCCUGCAGAUAAAUCAGAUUGGCUAGGGUGAAAUGCAAUCAAAUAGGCAUCAGACUCUUCAGCACAGCUGCCAAUUGAAAGUGGUGUCAAAAUAUUAUCUACAAAUAAUAAUGAGGCCAAAGAAGUUCUCCAGAGGAUCUUGUCAUGAGAAACUCCAAGGAAUGAUGUUGGUUAAGGUGUAAUGAGAAACUCCAAGGAAAGAUGUUGGUUAAGGUGUAAGUGUAAUAACUACUGACAGUGUAAAUACUACAACAGUGAAAUGUAAAUACAACAGUGUAAUUGGGGUUUAAAAAUACAAAGUUUAUUUUAAUAAAUGUUGUUUAUUUUAUGUCACAUUUAUAUACAUUUAAGAACUUAAAUUAUUCAAAAACUAAAUAAAUUAAAUAUGUGUUCAAUGUCAAUGAAUAUUGCUAUAUUCUAAAUUUUUUAUUCCAAAAUAGGCAAUAACUGUUUCCUUUAUUGUUGACCCCACAUGUUGUCAUGAAAAUUAAUACUAAAUAAAAAAAGUAGCCAAUGAUCCAUGUUUCCUCUUACAGUCUUUGCUUUAUAUGAAAAAUUAAAUACUACAGAAUAAUUGCAUUGUUCCUUUUAUUGAUAAAGAGUUUCCCAUUAAAAGAGAAAGUAUUCCCAAUUAAUACUUUGCAUGUUAAAGUGUGCUCACCCUUUGACGAGUAAAAUCGUCUGGCGUUAGACAGAGUAAAAUAAUAAAGUAGGGUGCAUCAGGGCACAUGCAAUGCAACUCAAUGGGUUAACUGGAUCGUCCGACAGAAUAAUAAAGUUGGGUUAACAAGUAAAAUUGUCUAGCUUUACAGUACAUCUUCCAAGGGGGGGCUGGAUUUGGGGAGCAGGCCUACCACUUUGGGGGGGGGGCUGCUUUUUUGAACCCCAAUUAAACUAUUACAGUAAUCCG
rnacentral:lncRNA from 1 species